UCCAAGAGCGCGCCCGAGUCCCGCCCGCCCGGGGCGCAGCGAGGCUCAGUGGCGCCCCCUGGAGGCGCGCGGCUGCCGGCUCCGUCGCGCCUGGGCGCGGACGCGGCGCUCUUCCACGCGCCUCUGGCGCGCUGCGGUAGCCCCUCGGCGGAGCUGGCCAGGAGUCUUCCGAAGUGAACGCCAACUGACCGAGGACCGAGGACCAGACAUAUGACACCCCUCCUUAAGACUUGGUUCGACGGAAGUCCCCUCCAGAGGCCAGCCGCCACCCCCAGGGAGAGUUGCAAACCCCCAGAUUGACUCAGGAUGAGGAGUGUUGCUGUGUCUCAGGUCUGGUCGCUGCUGCUUCCUCUUUGGGUUCCGAUAGUCCACCCAGCCCUCAUCCUUCCUUGGGCUCCCAGGGCGAGGGCCGUGCUCCUCAUCGCCACCCUGAUGUCCAUCCACUGAUGAAUGGGGAAAAUGUGGCCCACCCUACAGUGGCCUCCGAUUCAGCCACGAGAAGGAAUGGAAACUGACCCCUGCUACAUGUGGAUGAACCUGAAACACCUUCUGCUAAGUGAAAGUGGCCAGACGCAAAUGUCAUGUAUUAUAUGUUUCCGUUUCUAUGAAACAUCCGGAAGGGGUGAAUCCGCAGAGGCUGAAAACAGUUGAGUGGUUGCUGGGGACCAGGUGGAAGGGAGAAAUAGGGAGAGACUGCUUAACGGGCAACAGGGUGUCCUUUGGCGGGUGAUGGAAGUGUUUUGGAACUAGACCCAGAGGGUGAUCAUCCAACAUUGUGAAUGUACUGAAUGCCACUGAAUUGCACAUCUUAAAAUUUUAUGUUAUGUGAAAUUUGCCCCCGUAGGAAUAAAUACACACACACACACACACACACACAACUAAGUACUAGGUCAUCCAUGUAUGACCAGCUGUAUUGCUUUUUCAUCAGACUGACUUUUGUCAUCAUGUCAGCUGUCCUCUCUCUAGGAACUUGGUUCAAGAUCCUGAAAAUCCUUGCAGACGAUUUGACAGCAUCUCGCUGGUCUGCUGUAAGCUUCCCUGCUCCUCUGGUCCCUGCUGAGUCUUCUCCGACAAGUGGGGGAAACUGGCUGCCCGGGAGACCUCUCCCACCUGCUAGCUGCUGGUGGCGGGGCAGGGGCGGUGUUAGAGUGCCAUUAGUCAGGGCUUUUCCUUGCAAGUAAGAGAAACACAAACAAGCUGGCUGACUAAGCAGAAAAGGAGCUUCUUAAAAGGAUAUUAACUCAGAGGAUGGGUUGAAGGGCUGGUGGACCUGGCUGGAGGCUGUGCCUCCAGGAUCAAUGCAUGGAAACAGCUGGAUGAGCAAAACACCAGCAUGCUGUCGCUCUGCUAGGACAUUUCUUUACCAAGAACUUGCCCAAGACUGCAGGCCUAUAGCCACCCUCCCUACACUGAGCCUCCUUUUCUGGGUUCUCACUUCCUUAUAGUCUCCCCUGGGCAUCGGAUUGGUGGAGCCGGGUCAUGCCCAGGUGCCUUGGCUUCAAGGAAGACUUGUUCCUGGGUCCCACCUCCUCCAUGGGGAGAUGGAAAUUUCUCAAAUAUUACAAAAUGUUGAAAACGUGGCAGGCAUACAGAAAACACGGCACACAGAGGAUACUGCCUCCAUUAUUCCCCAAGUGCUUGAAGGACCAUAUGGCAGCCCAAGCUCAUUUGACCUUCUCUCUUCUCAUGAGAGAACUGGGGACUUCUGCAGAGACCCAGCCUGGCCAGCUCCGAUUUGCAACUAUCCAGAACCUUCACACCUGCUCCCCUCCCCCAGAUGUGUAGGUUUCAAGGGGCUGGGAGGGAGAAAAAGCCCACCCACCCCUAGUUAUGGGUUAGGUAGAUAACUCAGACCCGUCCAUCACUACAUUCCAUUUCGCAAGAACAGUGAUUGGUCCAAGGAAGCCCAUGAUCAGAACAGUGCCUUUUCAAGUUUUCCCUGGGAUUGAUAAGGUGUGUGUGUGUGGGGGGGGGGAGAAGUUCUCUUUUGCCAUGGAGUUGUCAAACUAGAAGGAAAUGCAGCUGGGGUCAUCUUCCCUCACCCUAAGAAAGAAAUUAUAUGCAAAAGAAAAAUCUCCUAUGGAAAGGAGGGAUUGGUGAGACAGCCAGGAAAAUAUGGUUUCAUUUCCUGGAUCCAGCUAAGCCUGAAGCCAUUCCAUUUCUGGUCUUUAAUUACAGAAGCCAAAAUUCCUUUAUACAGCUUCAGUUAGUUAGAGUUGGGUUUCUCUGGGAACCGAGUCUUUGUAAUUCGCCACCCACUCUCUAGUGGGAAAUUGACUAUGAAACAUUUUCUGUCCAUUA